rnacentral:rRNA from 1 species
UACGUAGGUGGCAAGCGUUGUCCGGAUUUACUGGGCGUAAAGAGCGCGCAGGCGGUCGUGCAAGUCGCGUGUGAAAGCCCCCGGCUCAACUGGGGAGGGUCACGCGAUACUGCUCGACUCGAAGGCAGGAGAGGGAAGUGGAAUUCCCGGUGUAGUGGUGAAAUGCGUAGAUAUCGGGAGGAACACCAGUGGCGAAGGCGACUUCCUGGCCUGUUCUUGACGCUGAGACGCGAAAGCGUGGGGAGCGAACAGG